rnacentral:rRNA from 1 species
AUGAACGCUGGCGGCGUGCCUAAUACAUGCCAGUCGAGCGAACGGACGAGAAGCUUGCUUCUCUGAUGUUAGCGGCGGACGGGUGAGUAACACGUGGAUAACCUACCUAUAAGACUGGGAUAACUUCGGGAAACCGGAGCUAAUACCGGAUAAUAUUUUGAACCGCAUGGUUCAAAAGUGAAAGACGGUCUUGCUGUCACUUAUAGAUGGAUCCGCGCUGCAUUAGCUAGUUGGUAAGGUAACGGCUUACCAAGGCAACGAUGCAUAGCCGACCUGAGAGGGUGAUCGGCCACACUGGAACUGAGACACGGUCCAGACUCCGACGGGAGGCAGCAGUAGGGAAUCUUCCGCAAUGGGCGAAAGCCUGACGGAGCAACGCCGCGUGAGUGAUGAAGGUCUUCGGAUCGUAAAACGCUGUUAUUAGGGAAGAACAUAUGUGUAAGUAACUGUGCACAUCUUGACGGUACCUAAUCAGAAAGCCACGGCUAACUACGU